rnacentral:lncRNA from 1 species
UUGGCAAUCCAAGAUAAGUGAAAGGCAUAGUACCAAGAUGCACCCAAAUGUUGUAACUACGACUUCCUUCUUUUCUUCUUCAACAUUUAUCAGCACCAUAUAGGAUUUAUAAUAGUUUACUUUGAGCCCAUUUGAGUGAAAGCUUCUAAAAUUUAUGUUAGACAAAUUAAAUUCUUCUAACUUGAUAUCAUUUCUACCUAAUGUUAAAGAGCUAUCGGUUUCUUCCAACCGUCGUUGACCAAGUCGCGGAAAAGGACGUGGAACCAGUAGGAAAAAAUCGAAUCAAAACUGGCAGGAACGUUAGAAAACCAGCCCGGAAACCGAGUCCCGAGUACAAAACUAAUGGUAACCGAUAGAAAACCGGCUUCCACGUGAAACCACACCCACGAGAAAAAGUUAACUGGGGGAAGGGAAAAAUCAGCUAAUGCAGCAACAAUCAAACGUGAUGGGACCUCGAAACCCCCAACCUGCACUUUAAAGAGGGCUAAUUCCACACCAGGCCAUGGGUACGUCAGGCUUUUGUUAAAGAAUAAAUCAAAUGUGAUCCACCACCAGGUCAUGAGUAUGUUGUGUUUUUGUUAAGAAUUUUUUUAUAUUUUAAUGAGUCAUUCACCCGAUAACCAGUUUGCACUUUUUCCCGCACACAUAUGGUCGUCACCGAGUUAAAUAUUGUUUCCUUUGCAAGAGAAGUGGACAAACAUUUUAUUUCAAACAUCUUGCAUAUUUAGCAAAGCUCUGGCACAUAUGGCGGUUUUAAUAUCUAAUAUAUAUUUAUCUUGAAGGUUCAUCUUUAACCAUAUACAUCAUAUUAUUUUAUCAUUUCUUUUAAGCUGGAGCAUGUAUUAUAGUUUUAAUAUCAAGUAUAUAUUUAUCUUAAAGGUUUAUCUCU